ensembl:snRNA U5 U5 spliceosomal RNA
UAGCUCUGGUUUCUUUUCGUUCACGCAUAAAUUUUUCGCCUUUUACUAAAGGUUUCCGUGGAGAGGAACGUUGACGAAUUCAGUUGGUAUUUUUGUGGGCUUCGCUGUGGCAAAGCU